UACGUAGGGGCAAGCGUUGUCCGGAUUUAUUGGGCGUAAAGAGCGUGUAGGCGGCCAGGUAGGUCCGUUUGUGAAAACUCGAGGCUCAACCUCGAGACGUCGAUGGAAACCAUCUGGCUAGAGUCCGGAAGAGGAGAGUGGAAUUCCUGGUGUAGCGGUGAAAUGCGCAGAUAUCAGGAAGAACACCCGUGGCGAAGGCGGCUCUCUGGGACGGUACUGACGCUGAGACGCGAAAGCGUGGGGAGCGAACAGG
rnacentral:rRNA from 1 species